rnacentral:tRNA from 1 species
GCCGCCAUGGUGAAAUUGGUAGACACGCUGCUCUUAGGAAGCAGUGCUCAAGCAUCUCGGUUCAAAUCCGAGUGGCGGCA